rnacentral:lncRNA from 1 species
AUGCAGCAGUUUUUUUAUAACCGUUAGAUACAUCAUCAAAUUGUAUAAUAUUAUCAUAGAACCUCCCAUACUGUAACAUCUUCUUUUUCUCCUUCCUCACCAUCCCAUUUAUCCCCUCCAUCAUCACCAUUCUGCCACCACUUUUGUCGACGUCACCAUCAAACCAAUGCUCUGACAGGAACCACAACCUCUACGAAGGUCUACAUAACCCUAUCUCCCAUUGAUGCGAAGGAAUCAAACAAGGUUUAAUCUAGAUCCGUUGUUGUACAUUUGGUAGAUUUGGUGUGAAUAUGCUUUUGUACAUCUGGGGCAUUUCAACCUCCCUCGUCACUGCAUGCGUCGUCGCCAACAAUGGUGUUUCAAUUUUUCCACACUUUUCACAUUGACUUCGUUGCCAACAAGCCCGUCACCCACCCACCAAACUAGGACGUUUCAGUCGCACACCCAUCAAGCCCUAACGAUCCCGUUUCGCACCCACCAAAUCCCAACGUUCUUGUCGCGCACCC